CCCCUCCCCUAUACUGAGUGUAUUGGCACAUUCCCUAACUAUUUGGGAAUCUGCCCCACACCCACCCCACCCUGUGCAGGUAGAACAAGUUCCCCCAGUGAUUUAUAGAAAGGAGAUUUUCCAUUUCAUAUCCAGCUGCUUUCGCUCUCGGCACCAUCACAUCUGCUCCCAGUGGGCCGGGAAGGGGCAUGUUUGGUGCCAAGUGGAACUGCUGAAUGAGGAGCCUGGGGAGCAGGGAGACCCUACAUUUUGUAAAACUGUUUUAAGACACUCCCACAUACUGUCCUCAAUCCAUGCCCACUUUCUGGGUAACUCCACCCCCUGUUUGGCCAAGGAAUUUGGACUGUCCCACCUACUCAGGGACUAUAGGGAGUUAUACAGGGGGGAGUGGGGCCAGAAACUGAUCCAGAAGCAGAACCGACCCAAACACAGAGACUGAGGAGCUGCACCUGAAAGGGAAGA